rnacentral:rRNA from 1 species
GUCUCUAAGCAAUGGAUGUCUUGGCUCCUCACACGAUGAAGAACGUGGCAUAAUG